UCACCGCACCCCUAUGAGGAGGGGCUGCAGCGUCCCAGUACACAGGUGGGUUAGUGGAGGCACAGGGAGGCGGAGGCAGGAGUCCAAACCAGGCCUCCGAUUCCAGGCCUCGACGUCUGCAGGAGAGGUCCUAGGAGCUGUGAUGUCCAGAUGGAGGGGGCUGCCCCAGCCUGGGGCCUCCUUGGGGUGGUCUCUCCUCAUUGGCUCCAGGGGCAAGGAGGAGCCAGUCCGCCGCCUCUCCUCCCAGCCGCUAGAUGGCGCCAGGGGCAGGGAGGAGCCAGUCUGGCGCCUCUCUGCCCGGCCGCUAGAUGGCGCCAGGGGCAGGGAGGCGCGGGGUUCUGGACUGUUCCAUCCGAGGCCCCACCUCCUCCCUCAGGGCAGGUGUGCGGGCACUGGGGCUCCCAAAGGCCAGAGCUUUGAAUUCAGCCGGGGGGGUUUAAGAGGAAGGGCUCAGUUCCCCAUGUCCUACCCGUGAGACCGGCGACAGGCAUCGCUGAGGGCUGCGGCUUUGGAAUCGGGCACCUUCUGAGAAAGAGAAACGGACCACGGGGACAGCGCAGAGGAUGAGAGGCUGUUCCCUCCACGUGGAGUCCCCCCUCCGACCCCCGUCCUCUGCCUCCUGGACACACCUGUCUCCAAAGCACAACAUCAGUGUUGCUUUCUCUGCAGAGUACUGCCAGGUCCUCAAUAUUAUCUCGCAGUGCAUUCUAGCUCUUGAUUACCAGCUGUGAAACUCUAGCUCCACGAAAGAGGCCCUUGGCUGUGACCAGCAAGAAAAGCACCAACUCCAGACUGCAACAUGGCUCACAGUGUUAGCAACAUGGCACAUGGAAAUUUUGACAAGCACAAGUGAGUCCUUUUAGCAUAAACUUCACUGUUAGUUGGCAGAAUUUGCAAAGGUGUGAGAGAGGUCCCCAGAAAGGACCUUGGUGGGAUUGAGGAGUAGAGAUGGGCAGGAGAAAGAAAUCCUGACAAUGUGGACCCAAAGAAAAGGCAACAGCAGGUGAAACAGGGAAGGAAAUAAAGUGGGGAGAGCCCUAUGCACUGCCUUUGCCUGUUCCAGAACUCUUCAGAGAACUGAUCACUGGAGUCUAUUCACACUGAAUUCUUGAGGGACUAACUUAUUGGAUUGCUUGAGGAUCCCACUGCAUUCAACAGUUAAAUUCUUCUUAAUUUAAUUUAAUUUUUUUUUUGAGACGCCGUCUUGCUCUGUUGCCCAGGUUGCAGUGCAGUGGCGUGAUCUUGGCUUACCGCAACCUCCACCCACUGCAACCUCUCCUCCCGGGUUCAAGGUAUUCUCCUGUCUCAGUCUCCCAAGCAUCUGGGAUUACAGGUGCCUGCCACCAUGUCUGGCUAAUUUUUUUGGUAUUUUUAGUAGAGAUGGGGUUUCACCAUGUUGGUCAGGCUGGUCUCAAACUCCUGAUUCAACACUUUAAUUCUAAUGGAGCUCUCCAGUCCUCUACCAAGUGGCCUGGGGAGAGUGGGAACUGGCCAGCCAUAUCCUCAGCUCCCAUGCUCGUGUUUGGGAUACAAGGGAUAUUUACUGUAUCCCACGUGAGGGCUUAUUGCUAGCAAUCAUUCGGUUAAGGGCCACUCCCCUGUGUGCAAAUUCUUCAUUAUUUGGCCCCCGAAAGUUCCUUCGAAAGAUACUAGUCAAAGAAGAGAGUGAAGGUGAUGGGAAGGAAGUGUUGGCUGUUUGCUUCAGACAGGAUGUUAUAGAUCUGAAUACCGAAGGGCCAGGGGAAAAAGGGGAAGGUGAUCUUCUGGGUCCUUACAGCUUCCUUGAAAGAGCAAAGCUGAUGUUAGAGAUGGGAAAAUGCUUUUUAAAGUCCAUCUUGCCUUCUGUGUGUUUCUAAAUUCUGAGAGGUUCAGGUAAGGACUCUGGAUUCCCAGGGAGCAAAGGAAUCAACACCGCACAAUUGCAGCUUUUCAGGGAAGCCUUAAGACAACAAAGCACUCAUUAAUGAAAAAAUAUUUGGUGGCAGACACCUUUAUUUUUGUUUAGUCUUUUGACAGGGUUGGAAUGAGAAGAGUUAUGCGAUAGGGAGAGAAAGCCCUACCUUCAUUUAACUUGCUGUACUCUAUGAGUAUAAUUACCUAUAAGUGUAAUUACAGAGAAGACAAAUGGCAUUUUUAGCUGUGGUCUUAAAGAGGUGAGUUAAUUUCCGACUUUGACCAGAACUAUGUUAAUUAGCCGUGGUGCAGUCUCUCUCUCUCUCUGUCUUUGAGUGGAAGUUCCUCACCCAGGACUGAACGUGGCCUGCUUCCUCUGUACCUUUGAGUAAUGAAAGGACACCACAUGCCAGCCGAAUCAGGGCUGCUGUAUUAAUAAGGCUACUUUGCUGUCCAUUUAUCAUCAAUUAAAGGUGCGCUAGUUUGUAAAGUAACCCCACCUUCGGCCCGGCUACCCAGAAUGGCUCCUCAUUUAUUUUCUGCGUGGUUUCAGUUGGAGUUAGACCCACCUUGCAGCUCAGAGGUGACAGGCGGCAUGAAAAACUACACUAAUUGAGACAUCUCGAGGGAGAAAUAUAAGAAAACUGAAACGGUAAUUAGAAUGAGAGGAUUUCAAGCUGGGUAAGGAAAAUCGAAUGGAGGUGCAUAUUAGGGGCUGUUACAAAUGGGGAGGAAAGUACUUGGUGGGGGAGAGAGAAAUGGAUCUUAGAGUCGAGUGUACCCUUUUAACACUUCAGGGAGAGAGAGGACAUGCAAGAAAAUAUUCAGGGUCAGGUGUGUGGACUUUUAGGAAGGGUGGCCUCGCAUUCAGGCUGCAAGGCAAAGCUACCGCCUUUUCUCUGCAGAGUAGAUGUCUCCCUUGUCACAGAAGAGCUCUGCUGAUAUUUGCAUCCACAGUUAUACUUUCCCUGUAUUGUUUCCAGUCUAAAUGUGCUCAGUUCCUUUCGCUGAGUUUCUGGGGGGUGGGGGACAUGGUUUUAGCUCUUUCCUACCUUGGCCAUCAUCUUGGUGUAGCACCCAGCAUGCGCCCUGGCAUGUGAUCUGACUGUCACACAAAGGAAAUGUCUGUCACCUUUUUUGUCCUGGAACAUGUACCUCUAUAAUGCAUCUCAAGACCAUUUUGGGGGCCGGGUGCGGUGGCUCACGCCUGUAAUCCCAGUACUUUGGGAGGCCGAGGCGGGUGGAUCAUGAGGGCAAGAGAUUGAGACCAUCUGGCCAACAUGGUGAAACCCAGUCUCUACUAAAAAAAAUACAAAAAAUUAGCUGGGCAUGGUGGCGUGUGCCUGUAAUCCCAGCUACUCAGAAGGCUGAGGCAGGAGAAUUGCCUGAACCCAGGAGGCAGAGGUUGCGGUGAGCCGAGAUCGCGCCAUUGCACUCCAGUCUGGGUAACAAGAGGGAAACUCCGUCUCAAAAAAAAAAAAACAAAACCAUUUUGAUUUCUUCAGCAGCUACAUCACACUAACCAUCCGCGUCGAUUUCUAUUCACUGUUAAUUCGGUCCUGUGAUGUGCUGGGCACCAGGGAUAGCACGGUGGGCAAGACAGAUGUGGCCCUUACCUGCAUGGAGUUCACAGUGUGGCGAGCAAGAUCCACUUGGAUGGAGGAAUCAUGGUAUUAGGAAAGGUGAGGCCAGGUAGUGAUGGGAUUAUAUUAAUACAUAGGCCAUGGGCUUGUAUCUGGUUCUGUUGGUGGGAGAAGCCCCUGAAGAAGAAGCAUUUAAGCUGAGCCCUACAGACUGCACAGGUGCUCGCCAGGUAAAGCAGGAGUGGGAAGGGGGCAUGGUAGGUGGACCUAGAGACGGAACAGUGCAUCCAAAACCCGCAGGUGAGGAAGGGUGUGGUGUGCCAGUGAAUGGCUGGAUGUCCUGGAUAGGAGGGACUGGAUGAGAGAGCAAGGCCAGAGGAGGUUAGGAGGAGGGCAGAGACUGGAGCAGGCCUGGUCUUUAGAGGGCCUGUGAAUUGCGGCCAGGGUUCUGCCUGUCACUGUUGUCAAGCCCUUCGAAGUAGGAAAUGGCCUGAUGAGGUUUUCAGCUCACUUCAGACCCCAAGUCUUUUUCAUGCAUCCUCUUUGUAAGAAAUCCCAUUCCUUCUCCAACUCUUUUUCUAGGAUUGAGCCCUGAGUGUUUAUAUUCAAGUGAAGAGCUGUAUGUUUAUCCACAUUUUAGACUUCAUUGUGUGCAAUUAUGACAAUCUUUGUGGACACUCACAUUUGGAUUCUGAUUCUAUCCCCUGAUAUAUUGAUCUCUCUCCCAGCUCCACUCAGUUUUGCUAAGUCUUCUCAGGAUCAUUCCAGGUUGAUAUCCUCCUAUCCAGGACAUCCAGCCAUUUACUGGCAUACCACACCCUUCCUCACCUCUGGGGCAUUUUGGAAUUCCAGGUUGAGCUGGAUAGAACCCUAUGGCACUUCCCUACAAACUGUCUUCCUGGCUGCUGUAGAGCCAUUCAUGAGCUCACAUGGGUUCCUGUUUCAACCUCCCUUGCCUUUACCUAACUGUAGCAACCUCAGCCCUCCUGUCUUCUUCUUGCCACCAUUUGGGAGGCUACAGAGGAAACCAGGUCCACUGGCCGUGGGGCCAUUCCAGAGCUUGGCUUGGCAGUGUGCUGUGUUGCCCCUGGAGAUGGUGCCUUACCUCCACCGUAGAACUGCCUACAUCUCCUCUGAGUCAGGCUGCCAAAAUGGAGUACCAUAGACUGGGUAGCUUACAAACAAUGAACAUUUAUUUCCCCCAGUUCUGGAAGCUGGAAGUCUGAGACCAGGCAUGGUCAGGUUCUGGGGAGGGCUCCCUGUCUUCCAGGUUGCAGAUUGCUAUCUUCUUGUUGUAGCCUUACAUGAUGGCAAAAGUGAGAGAGCUCUCUGGUGCCCCUUUUAUAAGGGCACUAAUCCCAUCGUGAUGGCUCUACUGUUAGGGUCUAAUCCCCACUCAAUGGCCCUACCUUCCGGUACUAUUACUUUGGGGGUUAGGAUUUCAGCAUAUGAAUUUGAGGGUAGGUGCAAACAUUCAGCUCAUUGCAGGUCCCCUGCAUAGUCCUUUUUUGAGGAGCUUAGGAGAAAGAUGAUUUCCCAUAAUUUCCUGUCUGACUCUUGGCUGAGAAUGAAAUAGGCCCAGAUGACACCAUGGUUGCUACCGUUAGGAACAUGGAGGAAGCUUUUAGUGUGAAUGCCUGUGAAACUUAAUGAAACGUCCCCAAGAGGACUUGGCCUGAGUUUGGAAACCCUGGGUGUUUUGCUUUGUAAAACGCUGACUCAGUUGACAGAUGGCCCAAAUGCUUAUUUUGGUCAACACCUGAAAGCAAUUUGGGGCUUUCUUAUUAUUGCUCCAGAAAAUAGACUAAUUCCCACUCAACAAAUGUGGAGCUGGCCAGUAUGGGGCCCCCAUGUGCUCAUGCACUGGAGGCUGGUUCUGUUAUCAACCAUGCGUCCCUCUUGAGUUCCAGUCCCUGGUGGGGCUCCAGGUCUGUCCUGGUCCCAUUCAGAACUCCAGCUUUCAUUAGCCUGUCUGCUGUGUCCACUGAGCCUCUCUCAGUCUCCUGUGUUGUCACCUCUAGCGCAACUCUGGACUUGCUCUUGGGGCUCUGCCAUGGCCAUAGGAGAGCUUUUGGACAGACUGAGCCUGCCUCCUUCCCAGGAAGGACACAGCUCCCUUGGCAAGUACAGCAGGAGCAUCUGCUCUUGUUAAGACGCCAGGCUCCACUCACCUUCCUUCACUGCCUCGUCAUACUUUGUCCUGGUUGCAUCAGAACCAGGGAUCUUCCAUCCUUUCAUGUCUGGUUUAAGCCAGCUACAAAUUUCUGGAUUGCAACCACCAAUUCGAAUGCUUUACUGUUAAUAACAAUAGUAUUGGCACAACUAAGUUCAUGGAUUACACAGAAAUAGUUAUCAAGGCAGCCUAAUUGAGUGAAAAUGGGUAAUUGUAUAAAGCCAUGAAGACAUGGCCUUCUGAAGGUUGAAAAUUCAAAGCAAGCAUCACUUGGAUGGUGUGGUGUUGAAUCAGCUAAUUAUAGGGAUUUUGUAUCCGUGUUUGAUCAUUCAGAAAAAGUUUCUCUACACACACACACACACACACACACACACACACACGUGCGUGCGCAUGCGCAAAGCUCUAUCAAACAAGUUUCUCUUUGAACUUAAAAUUACUCUUGGGGGCAGGGAGGUUUCUGAAUCACAAAUGAAAAUUUGAACAUCAAAGAGAUUUUCUCCCUUCUUCUAAGGGAAGAAGAGCCUUUUCUUUCCAACUAUAUAAGAGGAGAACAAAUAUAUAGAUUUGAAAUUAAAAUUUCACCAGGGCAGUAAAAGAGUAGAAAACACAAAUUUCCUAUGUGUGGGCAAGUUCAAAUGUUGCUCUGAUGAGAUAAAAUGUAACCUUAGGAAAGAGACAUAAAGGGAGAGAGCACUCCUAGUUUUAAAGUCCAGGUCCAGGGCUACAGCACUAUUUCUUUCUGAGCAGACCACACUCAAAGGCUAAUGUAUCAUCAACUGUCUCAUAAAGAGAAAGGGUAAUGAAUAGCCCCAAACCAAUGAACUCUGAGCUUGCCUGAAAGUUUAUCCUUUAGAGGAGGACUGAUGAAAAGUGACUUUUAAGAAUGGCAGCAUUCUUUGAUAAACAAAAAUGUAUUUAGUCUAUGUAAAAGCAUUUGGGUUUGAAUGGAUCAUCAACUUCAAAAAGGAUAGUAGCAUUACAAAUGGAGGAAAUAUGUCCACUUUAUUAAUUAGUAAAAACAAUAACCGUGUUCUCAAUGUGUAUCUUUGAAAUUUCAUUUUGGCAAUCAUUUUUCACAGACCGUGCUGUACUUUUCUGUUUUGUUUUGUUCCUUAGUGUUUUGUGAUUUAAUGAAUGCCAAUAGCUAAAAUAGAAUAAUCUGUAGCUUAUAAAGUUCUCUCACACAUUGUUUCGUUUGGAUCUUAUAACAAUCUUGUAAGAUAGUGAGAUGUUAGCUCCCACAUUGUCAAAGAAAAAUGUAGUUAACUAAGAAAAACCUGCAGCUGACAUCAUGGUUAAGACGGGGACAAAGCUAGGUGUUUGUUCUCAUCCCUCCUAUUUAAGACAGGGAGGAAUCAUUAAUAACUAUGGACGGAGUUUCUGCAGAAUGCCACGAACUGUGCUGCAUGCUUUUUAGUAUUAUGUUUUGUUUAAUUCUCCUUACAAUGCCUCAGUGUAGGGACUUUUCCCCCUGUUUUACAGAUGAGGAAACAGCAGUUCAGAGAUAUUGUGACUUUGUCCAGAGUUGUACUGUGACUCUAGAUGAUAGCUGGAGCAUCCAAAAGAGAAAUGCUGUUCAAUGACUUGCACAAAGUGCUCUCUGCGUGUAUUAGAAAUUCAGAUACCAACACAGCACUAUUCACAAUAGCAAAUAUAUGGAACCAAUCAGUGAUGGAUUGGAUAAAGAAAAGGUGGUAUAUGUAUACCAUGGAAUACUAUAUAGCCAUUAAACGAAUGAUAUUAUGUCAUUUGCAGCAACAUGGUUGCAACUGGAGGGCAUUAGGCUAAGUGAAUUAACACGGGCACAGAAAACCAAAUAUGGCAUGUUCUCACUAGUAAGUGGGAGCUAACCACUGGGUACACAUGGACAUAGAGAUAGGAACAAUAGACACAGGGUUUCUAAAAGGGGGAAAAAAGGGAGGCAGGGAUUGAAAAACCAGCUGUUGGGUACUAUGUUCAAGUUCACAAUUCAGGUGAUGAUUCAGUAGAAGCCCAAACCUCAGCAUCAUUCAAUAUAUCCAUGUAACACACCUGCAUCUGUGCCCUUUGAAUCUGAAAUAAAACAAAUACAUUAAAAACAAAACAAAACAAAUUCAGAUGCAGAGAGGACCAUAACCAGCCUGUAUCUGAAGGUGGUGGGGCCAGAAUGUGAUUCCAAGCAUGCUGUGGUCUCCUUGCUUCCUUUCCACUUAUCAGUUGUAGACCAGACUGUUAGUAGGUCUUUUAAGUUUUCAAAAAUUUUGAAUCCUGCAUGCUAAAGAACUAUUUGUUUUUUUAGAAACAAAUCAUGAAAAUACAAGAAAAAUAGAAAGAAGAAAUAAAAGAUAAUUUCUUUCUUUUCCAGUGAAAAACAAAUUCCACCUGGGAAGUUAAAAAAAUCAGAUGCAGCACUGCUACUUCAAUGCCUUUUAAAUCUCUAAGGUCACUUUAAUCUAUUGUCUGCUGUUUCUCAUGAAAAUAUGUUGCCCAUUAAGUUAAAUAGACUGAGAUAGUUUAGUCAAGUGAGGUUUCACAUUUAGUAAUUGAUUUUCAUUUUCUGAGGUUGUAAAUUAAAUUUACAGCACUGGCAUAAAGUUGAGAGCAGAAGACUCCAUCCAAAGUUGAAUGAAAACAAAGGUACUGAAAUAUUGCAGGGCUGGGUGUGUUCCUGUGUGUUCCACCGUUUUAUCAUGAGCCGGGAAAUCCCACGGGGAUGUCCCCAGCCAGCCUAGCUUCACUCUCUGUUGACCUGGGUUGCUCUUUUUGCACCCACUCCAAGAUGGCUGGAGGGAGAGUAGCGGGGAAAAAGAGAGAAGGUAGGGUGUGUGGGAAAGGUUUCUACCUGCUGCCAGCACCAUUUCGAUACGUUUCUCCCGGGGGCCACAAGGGAGUCACAUGUGGAGGCAAGAGGAGUAUCCUACCCAGAAUGUUCAGGUAGAAAUGUCUGUGUGUAAAUAAGCUCAAUGGUUAAAGAUUUUCAACUAUGUCAGGUCAAGGGAGCAUACUAUAUUAUUCACAUAUGUAAUUCUAGUGGACUGGAAAGGCUUGUAUUAGGAGAAAGUGAGUCUCUUGGAUGUGCAUGAAGAGAUUUUGCAAAUCCCAACACAUUCUAGGAAUUAAUAUUUCCCAGGAUUUUUUGUUAAAUGAACUGGCUACUUAUUCUUUCAUUUUAUUAUCUUUCUUUAUUAGCAAACAGUGCAUUACCAUCUGUCAAAUGCUUAAGAACAUUUUCAAGAGACAAGCAUUACAUCUAAAAAAUUAUUAAUGUU